rnacentral:rRNA from 1 species
GACGAACGCUGGCGGCGUGCUUAACACAUGCAAGUCGAACGGAAAGGCCCUGCUUUUGUGGGGUGCUCGAGUGGCGAACGGGUGAGUAACACGUGAGUAACCUGCCCUCGACUUUGGGAUAACUUCAGGAAACUGGGGCUAAUACCGGAUAGGAGCUCCUGCUGCAUGGUGGGGGUUGGAAAGUUUCGGCGGUUGGGGAUGGACUCGCGGUUUAUCAGCUUGUUGGUGGGGUAGUGGCUUACCAAGGCUUUGACGGGUAGCCGGCCUGAGAGGGUGACCGGCCACAUUGGGACUGAGAUACGGCCCAGACUCCUACGGGAGGCAGCAGUGGGGAAUAUUGCACAAUGGGCGGAAGCCUGAUGCAGCAACGCCGCGUGCGGGAUGACGGCCUUCGGGUUGUAAACCGCUUUCGCCUGUGACGAAGCGUGAGUGACGGUAAUGGGUAAAGAAGCACCGGCUAACUACGUG